rnacentral:rRNA from 1 species
GAUGAACGCUGGCGGCGUGCCUAAUACAUGCAAGUCGAGCGAACAGAUGAGGAGCUUGCUCCUCUGACGUUAGCGGCGGACGGGUGAGUAACACGUGGAUAACCUACCUAUAAGACUGGGAUAACUUAGGGAAACCGGAGCUAAUACCGGAUAAUAUAUUGAACCGCAUGGUUCAAUAGUGAAAGACGGUUUUGCUGUCACUUAUAGAUGGAUCCGCGCCGCAUUAGCUAGUUGGGAAGGUAACGGCUUACCAAGGCAACGAUGCGUAGCCGACCCGAGAGGGUGAUCGGCCACACUGUAACUGAGAUGCGGUCCCGACUCCUACGGGAGGCACCAGUAGGGAAUCUUCCGCAAUGGGCGAAAGCCUAACGGAGCAACGCCGCGUGAGUGAUGAAGGUCUUCGGAUCGUAAAACUCUGUUAUUAGGGAAGAACAAAUGUGUAAGUAACUAGGCACGUCUUGACGGUACCUAAUCAGAAAGCCACGGCUAACUACGUG